UUGAUCCUGGCUCAGGACGACCUUUGGGGGCGUGCCUAACACAUGCAAGUCACGGGGGCCCGCAAGGGUAACCGGCGAACGGGAGCGUAACACGUGAGCAAUCUGCCGUCCACUGGGGGAUAGCCGGCCCAACGGCCGGGUAAUACCGCAUACGCUUGCCGGGUGGCAUCACUUGGCAAGGAAACCUCCGGGGGUGGACGAGGAGCUCGCGGCCUAUCAGCUAGUUGGUGGGGUCACGGCCCACCAAGGCGAUGACGGGUAGCUGGUCUGAGAGGAUGGCCAGCCACACUGGGACUGAGACACGGCCCACACUCCUACGGGAGGCAGCAGUGGGGAAUAUUGGACAAUGGGCGAAAGCCUGAUCCAGCAAUGCCGCGUGAGUGAUGAAGGCCUUAGGGUUGUAAAGCUCUUUUACCCGGGAUGAUAAUGACAGUACCGGGAGAAUAAGCUCCGGCUAACUUCGUGCCAGCAGCCGCGGUAAUACGAGGGGAGCUAGCGUUAUUCAGAAUUACUGGGCGUAAAGCGCACGUAGGCGGCUUUGUAAGUUAGAGGUGAAAGCCCGGGGCUCAACUCCGGAAUUGCCUUUAAGACUGCAUCGCUUGAAUCCAGGAGAGGUGAGUGGAAUUCCGAGUGUAGAGGGGGGAAAUUCUUAAUUAUUCGGAAGAACACCAGUGGCGAAAGGGGGCUCACUGGAUUGGUAUUGACGGUGAGGUGGGAAAGGGGGGGGAGCAAACAGGAUUAGAUACCCUUGUUAGUCCACCCCGAAAACGAUGAUAACUAGCUGUCCGGCCACUGGUGCUUGGGUGGCGCAGCUAACGCAUUAAGUUAUCCGCCUGGGGAGUACGGUCGCAAGAUUAAAACUCAAAGGAAUUGGCGGGGGCCUGCACAAGCGGUGGAGCAUGUGGUUUAAUUCGAAGCAACGCGCAGAACCUUACCAGCGUUUGACAUGUCCGGACGAUUUCCAGAGAUGGAUUUCUUCCCUUCGGGGACUGGAACACAGGUGCUGCAUGGCUGUCGUCAGCUCGUGUCGUGAGAUGUUGGGUUAAGUCCCGCAACGAGCGCAACCCUCGCCUUUAGUUACCAUCAUUUAGUUGGGUACUCUAAAGGAACCGCCGGUGAUAAGCCGGAGGAAGGUGGGGAUGACGUCAAGUCCUCAUGGCCCUUACGCGCUGGGCUACACACGUGCUACAAUGGCAACUACAGUGGGCAGCAAUCCCGCGAGGGUGAGCUAAUCUCCAAAAGUUGUCUCAGUUCGGAUUGUUCUCUGCAACUCGAGAGCAUGAAGGCGGAAUCGCUAGUAAUCGCGGAUCAGCAUGCCGCGGUGAAUACGUUCCCAGGCCUUGCACUCAACGCCCGUCA
rnacentral:rRNA from 1 species